GAGUUUGAUCGUGGCUCAGGAUGAACGCUGGCGGCGUGCUUAACACAUGCAAGUCGAACGAAGCACUCAGGAGCGAUUUCGGUCAAUCCUGUUUGACUGAGUGGCGGACGGGUGAGUAACGCGUGAGUAACCUACCUCGCAGUGGGGAAUAACAGUUGGAAACGACUGCUAAUACCGCAUAAUGCAGAGAGACCGCAUGAUCUUUCUGCCAAAGAUUUAUCGCUGUGAGAUGGACUCGCGUCUGAUUAGCUAGUUGGUGAGGUAACGGCUCACCAAGGCCGACGAUCAGUAGUCGGACUGAGAGGUUGACCGGCCACAUUGGGAACUGAGACAGGCCCAGACUCCUACGGAGGCAGCAGU
rnacentral:rRNA from 1 species